rnacentral:rRNA from 1 species
AGAGUUUGAUCCUGGCUCAGGAUGAACGCUGGCGGCGUGCCUAACACAUGCAAGUCGAACGAAGCUUGACGGAUGAUUUCUUCGGAAUGAAACCAGAUAUGACUUAGUGGCGGACGGGUGAGUAACACGUGAGCAACCUGCCUUUCAGAGGGGGAUAACGGCUGGAAACGGUCGCUAAUACCGCAUGAUGUGUUCGGAUGGCAUCAUCUGAACAUCAAAGAUUUAUCGCUGAAAGAUGGGCUCGCGUCUGAUUAGAUAGUUGGUGGGGUAACGGCCUACCAAGUCUACGAUCAGUAGCCGGACUGAGAGGUUGAACGGCCACAUUGGGACUGAGAUACGGCCCAGACUCCUACGGGAGGCAGCAGUGGGGAAUAUUGCACAAUGGGGGAAACCCUGAUGCAGCAACGCCGCGUGAAGGAUGACGGUUUUCGGAUUGUAAACUUCUUUUCUUAGUGACGAAGACAGUGACGGUAGCUAAGGAAUAAGCAUCGGCUAACUACGUGCCAGCAGCCGCGGUAAUACGUAGGAUGCAAGCGUUAUCCGGAUUUACUGGGUGUAAAGGGAGCGCAGGCGGGACUGCAAGUUGGAUGUGAAAUACCGUGGCUUAACCACGGAACUGCAUCCAAAACUGUAGUUCUUGAGUGAAGUAGAGGCAAGCGGAAUUCCGAGUGUAGCGGUGAAAUGCGUAGAUAUUCGGAGGAACACCAGUGGCGAAGGCGGCUUGCUGGGCUUUAACUGACGCUGAGGCUCGAAAGUGUGGGGAGCAAACAGGAUUAGAUACCCUGGUAGUCCACACUGUAAACGAUGAUAGCUAGGUGUGGGGGGUCUGACCCCUUCCGUGCCGGAGUUAACGCAAUAAGCUAUCCACCUGGGGAGUACGACCGCAAGGUUGAAACUCAAAGGAAUUGACGGGGGCCC